GACGAACGCUGGCGGCGUGCCUAACACAUGCAAGUCGAACGGGGGUAGCAAUACCCCAGUGGCGAACGGGUGCGUAACACGUGAAGAACUUGUCCAUCGGGCGGGGGAUAGCCGGCCCAACGGCCGGGUAAUACCGCGUACGCCGUCUGAAGCGCAUGCUUCGGCCGGGAAAGCAGCAAUGCACCGAUGGAGAGCUUCGCGGCCUAUCAGCUAGUUGGCGGGGUAAUGGCCCACCAAGGCGACGACGGGUAGCUGGUCUGAGAGGAUGACCAGCCACAUUGGGACUGAGACACGGCCCAGACUCCUACGGGAGGCAGCAGGUGGGGAAUAUUGCGCAA
rnacentral:rRNA from 1 species